AACGAACGCUGGCGGCAUGCCUAACACAUGCAAGUCGAACGAAGGCUUCGGCCUUAGUGGCGCACGGGUGAGUAACACGUGGGAACCUGCCUUAUGGUUCGGAAUAACGUCUGGAAACGGACGCUAACACCGGAUGUGCCCUUCGGGGGAAAGUUUACGCCAUGAGAGGGGCCCGCGUCGGAUUAGGUAGUUGGUGUGGUAACGGCGCACCAAGCCGACGAUCCGUAGCUGGUCUGAGAGGAUGAUCAGCCACACUGGGACUGAGACACGGCCCAGACUCCUACGGGAGGCAGCAGUGGGGAAUAUUGGACAAUGGGCGCAAGCCUGAUCCAGCAAUGCCGCGUGAGUGAUGAAGGCCUUAGGGUUGUAAAGCUCUUUCGCACGCGACGAUGAUGACGGUAGCGUGAGAAGAAGCCCCGGCUAACUUCGUG
rnacentral:rRNA from 1 species